GGAGGUGGGGGGUAUAACUCGUGCUUGGCAUGCAUGAAGUUCUGGGUUCAAUCCCCAGUACCUCCA
rnacentral:tRNA from 1 species